rnacentral:lncRNA from 1 species
AAAAAGGGCUGAGCAUCAGAAUUCCCGACAAAAGAACUUAAGCCCCUGGAUCCAGCAAUGCCUGAUGCCUACCCUCGACUUUUAAGUUACUUAAGCCAAUAAAUUUGCUCUUUUUCUGGGAGCCAGUUUGAGUUGGGUCUUCUAAUACUUACCAGUCCAGUACUCUCCUUUGUGAAUUACAAAUUGAGACAUAAAGACGGAAGCCUAUUUAUAUUGGCUUAAACUAAGAGACCACAGAAUACCAGGUUGAAUGGCCAUGUGCUCGCCUGAGCACAAAUACCAGAGACACAGAGAGAGGUUGCAGAGAGGAACAAAAGUGAGAGAGAGAUGGAACAGAUAAAAAGAUAGAGGGGAAGACGAGAGACCAUGUGGCUUCAGAAAAAAUAGGAAAGGCCUUUUCUUUACCCCUGGGAUCUUCGUGGUCUCUGCUUCUGAACCCGCAGGGAGGCUGGCUACAUUUCCUGCCCUCAGUUCUUCCCCCAGCUCUCAUAUCUUCCCCAAAAUUGGCCUCCUGGACUUGAAUUCAUUUGAGUGGAUUUCUUGCCUCCAAAUAAUUCACAAUCAACACAGCAGCUGAUUGGAUAGGAGAGACAGGGAAAAGAAAUAUACCAAGGAUUACAUCAGAGAUUAUAUCAUGGGGAGAGGAGAGGGAGGAGCACAAGGUUGCGGGUGGGGGUGACCCAGAAUUAAAGCCUGUUAAGGCCCUUUUAUGUGCCUAAAGCCAAGCCUGCUACAAAUACUGCAAAUUCCUCUCUCCUGGAAACCAAAAGUCCAUGCAGCUCAAACAACCGGAAUCCCACGAUCCUGCCCUGCAUGGAUGCUCAGAAGGUUGUUGGUCGGCACAUGGCUGUAUUUGUGCUGAUCUGACUCUGGGGAUUAAAGGUUUCACUUGUUCGUGCCCUCAGUCAGCGUGCUGGAGGGUCACCAUCCUCCUUUUGAUGGCACCCCCUGCCUCCUCAUUUCCAUCUGCACCUGUCAAUCUCACCACACUCAGCAGCGUCUUCCUGGCCUCAGUCUCUCAUGCCUUCCAUCACUGGAUAAAGACCUA